rnacentral:rRNA from 1 species
UACGUAGGGUGCGAGCGUUAAUCGGAAUUACUGGGCGUAAAGCGUGCGCAGGCGGUUCGUUAAGUCAGAUGUGAAAGCCCCGGGCUCAACCUGGGAACUGCAUUUGAAACUGGCGGGCUUGAGUGUGGCAGAGGGGGGUGGAAUUCCGCGUGUAGCAGUGAAAUGCGUAGAGAUGCGGAGGAACACCGAUGGCGAAGGCAGCCCCCUGGGCCAACACUGACGCUCAGGCACGAAAGCGUGGGGAGCAAAAGGG